UACGUAGGGGGCGAGCGUUGUCCGGAGUUACUGGGCGUAAAGGGCACGCAGGCGGUCAUGUAAGUCUGUUCUGACAGCUCCUGGCUCAACCGGGAGAGGCGAACGGAAACUGUAUGACUUGAGGACUUCAGAGGGACACGGAAUUCCGGGUGGAGUGGUGAAAUGCGUAGAGAUCCGGAGGAACACCAAAGGCGAAGGCAGUGUCCUGGGAAGUACCUGACGCUGAGACGCGAAGGCGUGGGGAGCGAACGGG
rnacentral:rRNA from 1 species